CAUUUAAUUCUAAUUAGUCCUAAAAAACAAAAAAAAAACCACGAAGUUUGGACAAAAUGAAAAAAAAAAUCAAGAAUCAAUUCUCAGAUGUUCAAACAAAAAGUACCAAAUGAAAUGGGUAAUGAAGAAGAAUGAACGCCAGAAAGC
ensembl:ncRNA F33D4.13 ncRNA